AAGUCGUAACAAGGUAUCCGUAGGUGAACCUGCGGAUGGAUCAUUAAAAAGAUUAUAUUUGAAGGUAGUGUGAACUGGUUAUUGUUUGUUGACAAAUGGCGUUAUUCAAAACAACCCUUUUGUCAACUUGUAUACUUUUACUACUAAAUUUAAAUGUGUCAUUGUACACAAACAAAAGUUAUACAACUUUUAGCAAUGGAUCUCUUGGCUCUC
rnacentral:misc_RNA from 1 species